GUUGCGCUCACGGUUAGAGCCGUUCACUCAUAAUGAGCCGGUAGUCGGUUCAACUCCGAUCAGCGACUCCA
rnacentral:tRNA from 1 species